AUACUCAAUAAUUAAAUACGACAAUUUAAUCAUAAAUUACAACGAUAUAAACGACAUAACGAUAUAAUUGUGAUAAAGGUGGCAUAUCAAAAUAUUUUCAACCUACCUUUACUCAGAAUCGUUUUUCGUUAGAAACACUUUAUCUAUCACACGUACAUAUGUAAAUAAAAAUAUUCCAUACAUCCUAUUGUCCCAACUUCCUAUCUACAACAGAAGUAGAACUAAGCUAUAUCAGUUAUUUUCUUUUUUUUAAUAAAGAAUAAUUGUACAUGUCUUUUUCCAUCGAGGGGAAUUUGAUUUAACUAUAAUAUCGUACAAAAUCACAUGUGUCUA